GAUGAAGAACGCAGCGAAAUGCGAUAAGUAAUGUGAAUUGCAGAAUUCAGUGAAUCAUCGAAUCUUUGAACGCACAUUGCGCCCGCCAGCAUUCUGGCGGGCAUGCCUGUUCGAGCGUCAUUUCAACCCUCGACUUCCCUUUGGGGAAAUCGGCGUUGGGGACUGGCAGCAUACCGCCGGCCCCGAAAUGGAGUGGUGGCCCGUCCGCGGCGACCUCUGCGUAGUAAUCCAACCUCGCACCGGAACCCCGACGUGGCCACGCCGUAAAACACCCCACUUUCUGAACGUUGACCUCGGAUCAGGUAGGAAUACCCGCUGAACUUAAGCAUAUCAAUAAGCGGAGGA
rnacentral:misc_RNA from 1 species